UGAAUACGAGACGCUAAGGCGUCGAAGUAGUGUAUGUCAUACUUCCAAGAAAAGCUUGCACUGUCAUAGAUAAAAAACGCCUGUACCAUAACCGACACAGGUGGGUAGGUAGAGUAUACUAAGGGGCGCGAGAUAACUCUCUCUAAGGAACUCGGCAAAAUAACUCCGUAACUUCGGGAGAAGGAGUGCCUUAUUAUUAAGGCUGCAAUAACAAGAUCCAAGCAACUGUUUAUCAAAAACACAGGUCUCCGCUAAGUCGUAAGACGAUGUAUGGGGGCUGACGCCUGCCCAGUGCCAGAAGGUUAAAGAAGUUGGUUAGCAUUUGCGAAGCUGAUAACUGAAGCCCUGGUGAACGGCGGCCGUAACAAUAACGGUCCUAAGGUAGCGAAAUUCCUUGUCGGGUAAGUUCCGACCCGCACGAAAGGCGUAAUGAUUUGGAUACUGUCUCGGAGAGGGGCUCGGUGAAAUAGACUUGUCUGUGAAGAUGCGGACUACCUGCACCAGGACAGAAAGACCCUAUGAAGCUUUACUGUAACUUGAAAUUGAAAUUGGACUUUAUUCGCGCAGCAUAGGUGGGAGGCGUUGAUUAUAAUCUUGUGGGAUUAUUGGAGCCAUCAGUGAGAUACCACUCUUGUAAUGUUAGAUUUCUAACUUUGAAUCAUUAUCUGGUCAAAGAACAGUUUCAGGCGGGCAGUUUGACUGGGGCGGUCGCCUCCUAAACGGUAACGGAGGCGUACAAAGGUUUCCUCUGAACGGUUAGAAAUCGUAUCUAGAGUGUAAAGGCAUAAGGAAGCUUGACUGUGAGACCUACAAGUCGAGCAGGGACGAAAGUCGGUCUUAGUGAUCUGACGGUACUGAGUGGAAAGGCCGUCACUCAACGGAUAAAAGUUACUCUAGGAUAACAGGCUGAUCUCCCCCAAGAGUUCACAUCGACGGGGAGGUUUGGCACCUCGAUGUCGGCUCAUCGCAUCCCGGGGCGGUAGUACGUCCCAAGGGUUGGGCUGUUCGCCCAUGAAAGCGGUACGCGAGCUGGGUUCAGAACGUCGUGAGACAGUUCGGUCCAUAUCCGGUGUAGGCGUUAGAAUAUUGAGAGGAGCCUUCUUUAGUACGAGAGGACCGAGAAGGACAUACCUCUGGUGUACCAGUUAUCGUGCCAACGGUAAACGCUGGGUAGCUAUGUAUGGAGUGGAUAACCGCUGAAAGCAUCUAAGUGGGAAGCCCACCUCAAGAUAAGUA
rnacentral:rRNA from 1 species